UACGGAGGAUGCGAGCGUUAUCCGGAUUUACUGGGUGUAAAGGGAGCGCAGACGGAAGCGGAAGUCAGAUGUGGAAGCCCCGGGCAUAACUCGGGGAGUGCAUUUGAAACUCUGCUUCUAGAGUACUGGAGGGGUGAGCGGAAUUCCUGGUGUAGCGGUGAAAUGCGUAGAUAUCAGGAAGAACACCGGCGGCGGAGGCGGCUCACUGGACAGCAACUGACGUUGAGGCUCGAAAGCGUGGGGAGCAAAC
rnacentral:rRNA from 1 species